AUGCAGUACAUUUUUUUUUUUUUUUUUUUUUGUGUACCUCCCACACAUAUACAUUUUUAGACACCAUUUCUUGCAUGCAUGAGCCACGAAAUGUGAAAUG